GUGACCAGUGGCCCAGGGGAUGUUACGGUGGACAGUCCAUCUGGAGGGAGGGCCACGCAGGGUGAACCAUGCUGCAGUGGCUGUUGGGCACCAGGUGUACUCCUUUGGGGGUUACUGCUCUGGUGAAAACUAUGAGACACCUCGACAGAUAGAUGUUCACAUUUUCAAUGCAGUAUCCUUGCAUUGGACAAAGCUGCCCCCGGUGAGGCCAGCCAUCCGAGGGCAGGCUCCUGUGGUUCCCUACAUGCGGUAUGGACACUCAGCUGUCCUCAUUGAUGACACAGUCUUCCUUUGGGGAGGGCAGAAUGACACUAAAGGAGCCUGCAAUGUGCUCUACACAUUUGAUUUCAGUACUGACAAAUGGUCCACACCCCAAGUGUCAGGAGCAAUUCCUGGAGCCCAGGAUGGACAUUCUGCAUGUGUCCUUGGCAAGAUUAUGUACAUUUUGGGGGGCUAUGAGCAGCUGGCAGAUUGCUUUUCCAAUGACAUUCCCAAGCUAGAUACCAGCACCAUGACAUGGACCCUUGUUUGUACAAAGGGUAACCCUACACGCUGGAGGGACUUCCACUCCGCCACCAUGCUGGGCAAUCACAUAACUGAAGCCUGGCUGGACUGUCCUCCUACACCAGUGCUACCUGAGGGGCGCCGGAGCCACUCAGCCUUUGACUACGAUGGGGAGCUGCUCCGGAGCGCGUUCCCGGAACGGCCGCUGGGGGCCGCCCUCGGUUCCCGCGCCGGCGAGAAGAAGCAGUCUGAGCAGGUUCGCAGCUGGCUGGGCUCAGCCCGGAACCUGAGUUCCUCCUCCGCGCCCACGCACUCGGUCUGGGGCGCUCGGCACCGCCCGCUUGAGAUCAGACCAGCCCGGAAGUUGGGGUGCCCUAGGCCCCCGAACACCCGGCUAGGCCGGGCCCUGACGCCCUCCGUGGCCUCCACGCACGCAGAGGUUGGGGCGCGCUGA